CUUGGCGGCCAUAGCGCGGUGGUCCCACCUGAUCCCAUGCCGAACUCAGAAGUGAAACGCCGUAGCGCCGAUGGU
rnacentral:rRNA from 1 species